UACUUUAGAAGGCUAUCCUUAAUAGAAAAAUCGCUAGUUCCAUAAAGUUGUAUGUCAUAAAUGUUAGAAAACCAUAGAAAAUCGCUAUACGAAUCCAAAUGUUCAAAUUCAUAACCAUGCAUAGGAUUGCAGAACCCAGCGCAGCAAUGGGACAGAGGACAAAAGGCACAAUUAUUUUAAAUUUGUAGUAAUUGUUUUGAUUUGUGGCUUCAAUUGCAGAACUUAUAUGAAGAGUUGAUAAGGUUAAAGGCGAACUAUGAAUCCCUCCAAUGCUCUGAAAGGCAAUUCCUUGAGGGGGAUCAGCUAAAUGUAAAAGAGUUGCACAAAAUUGAGAAACAACUUGACAGAACUCUCUUACAAACUCGAAAAAGAAAGUUCGAAUUAAUGAUAAAUCGGUUGGAACAACUCCGUAGAAAGGAACGUGAUCUUGAAGAAGAAAAUGAACUGCUGAAAUCUAAGCUGGAGGAAGUAAAGUUUCUUGAAUCAAUUCAUCAAGGAUUAGUAACGGGAGAUCCGAAUUUAUUAGCUGCAGCAGGCGUCGACCGCAUUAACCCUGUUCCACCUACAACCCACUUCCAACAAGAUUAAUAUGGUGUACAUAUACACAUAUAUGUGCAUAUAUCGUGCACACAUAGAAUCGUUAUAUACAUGUAUACAUAUUGAAGCAGCUUUGUUUUUGAAUUCAGGUACCGUGAAUUGAAACCCCAGGAGAAAAGCAACUGAUCAUGGCUGUGGCAGGCAGAAGUGAUAAUACAGAUUCACCCUAAGCCACCAGCUGGCCUGCCUUUGGUUUCUUAUAUAAUUAAUCAAUAUAGACUCUUCGUGCAUUUUCAAGUGUAUGUGCACAUAGAAAUAAAUAUUGAUGAAGUGCAUAUGCAAGAUAUUGCUAAUCGGAUAAAUAUGAUCAUUUAUUUGCUUGCUUA